CGCUAAGCAUGUAGAAAGCUUACCUUAUACCAUGUUUGGACGAGGGUUCGAAUCCCUCCGGCUCCA
rnacentral:tRNA from 1 species